rnacentral:rRNA from 1 species
GAUGAACGCUGGCGGCGUGCCUAACACAUGCAAGUCGAGCGAUUCUCUUCGGAGAAGAGCGGCGGACGGGUGAGUAACGCGUGGGUAACCUACCCUGUACACACGGAUAACAUACCGAAAGGUAUGCUAAUACGAGAUAAUAUACUUUUAUCGCAUGGUAGAAGUAUCAAAGCUUUUGCGGUACAGGAUGGACCCGCGUCUGAUUAGCUAGUUGGUAAGGUAACGGCUUACCAAGGCGACGAUCAGUAGCCGACCUGAGAGGGUGAUCGGCCACAUUGGAACUGAGACACGGUCCAAACUCCUACGGGAGGCAGCAGUGGGGAAUAUUGCACAAUGGGCGAAAGCCUGAUGCAGCAACGCCGCGUGAGCGAUGAAGGCCUUCGGGUCGUAAAGCUCUGUCCUCAAGGAAGAUAAUGACGGUACUUGAGGAGGAAGCCCCGGCUAACUACGUGCCAGCCGCCGCAGUAACAC